AACGAACGCUGGCGGCAGGCUUAACACAUGCAAGUCGAACGCCCCGCAAGGGGAGUGGCAGACGGGUGAGUAACGCGUGGGAAUCUACCGUAGCCUACGGAACAACAGUUGGAAACGACUCCUAAUACCGUAAACGCCCUACGGGGGAAAUAAUUAUCGGUGUAUGAUGAGCCCGCGUUGGAUUAGCUAGUGGGUGGGGUAAAGACCUACCAAGGCGACGAUCCAUAGCUGGUCUGAGAGGAUGAUCAGCCACAUUGGGACUGAGGCACGGCCCAAACUCGUACGGGAGGGAGCAGUAGGAAAUAAUGGACAAAGGGCGCAAGUCUGAUUCAGUCAUGCCGCGUGAGGUAUGAAGGUCUUAGGAUUGUAAGGCUCUUUCAACGAUGAAGAUAAUGACGGUAGUCGAAGAAGAAGCCCCGGCUAACUUCGUGUCAGCCGCCGCUGUA
rnacentral:rRNA from 1 species